rnacentral:lncRNA from 1 species
GGUUGUUUUGCUGGCUCCAGUUUUUCCGCGGGGCGGAAAAGGCGUGUCUGCGUGUGUCCCAACCAUUUCUAGUCCCCUUUCCUCGCAGGACCUCAUGAGUAAGCUGUGGCGGCGUGGGAGCACCUCUGGGGCUAUGGAGGCCCCUGAGCCGGGAGAAGCCCUGGAGUUGAGCCUGGCGGGUGCCCAUGGCCAUGGAGUGCACAAGAAAAAACACAAGAAGCACAAGAAGAAACACAAGAAGAAACACCAUCAGGAAGAAGACGCCGGGCCCACGCAGCCGUCCCCUGCCAAGCCUCAGCUCAAACUCAAAAUCAAGCUUGGGGGACAAGUCCUGGGGACCAAGAGUGUUCCUACCUUCACUGUGAUCCCAGAGGGGCCUCGCUCACCCUCUCCCCUUAUGGUUGUGGAUAAUGAAGAGGAACCUAUGGAAGGAGUCCCCCUUGAGCAGUACCGUGCCUGGCUGGAUGAAGACAGUAAUCUCUCUCCCUCUCCACUUCGGGACCUAUCAGGAGGGUUAGGGGGUCAGGAGGAAGAGGAGGAACAGAGGUGGCUGGAUGCCCUGGAGAAGGGGGAGCUGGAUGACAAUGGAGACCUCAAGAAGGAGAUCAAUGAGCGGCUGCUUACUGCUCGACAGCGAGCUCUGCUCCAGAAGGCGCGGAGUCAACCUUCCCCUAUGCUGCCGCUGCCUGUAGCUGAGGGCUGCCCACCUCCCGCCCUCACAGAGGAGAUGCUGCUGAAGCGCGAGGAGCGGGCGCGGAAGCGGCGGCUCCAGGCGGCGCGGCGGGCAGAAGAGCACAAGAACCAGACUAUCGAGCGCCUCACCAAGACUGCGGCGACCAGUGGGCGGGGAGGCCGGGGGGGCGCACGGGGCGAGCGGCGGGGAGGGCGGGCUGCGGCUCCGGCCCCCAUGGUGCGCUACUGCAGCGGAGCACAGGGUUCCACCCUUUCCUUCCCACCUGGCGUCCCCGCCCCCACGGCAGUGUCUCAGCGGCCAUCCCCCUCAGGCCCGCCGCCGCGCUGCUCUGUCCCCGGCUGUCCCCAUCCGCGCCGCUACGCUUGCUCCCGCACAGGCCAGGCACUCUGUAGUCUUCAGUGCUACCGCAUCAACCUGCAGAUGCGGCUGGGGGGGCCCGAGGGUCCUGGAUCCCCCCUUUUGGCUACCUUCGAGAGCUGUGCCCAGGAGUGAACAACCAGCCCUACCUCUGUGAGAGUGGUCACUGCUGCGGGGAGACUGGCUGCUGCACCUACUACUAUGAGCUCUGGUGGUUCUGGCUGCUCUGGACUGUCCUCAUCCUCUUUAGCUGCUGUUGCGCCUUCCGCCACCGACGAGCUAAACUCAGGCUGCAACAACAGCAGCGGCAGCGUGAAAUCAACUUGUUGGCCUAUCAUGGGGCAUGCCAUGGGGCUGGUCCUUUCCCUACCGGUUCACUGCUUGACCUUCGCUUCCUCAGCACCUUCAAGCCCCCAGCCUACGAGGAUGUGGUUCACCGCCCAGGCACACCACCCCCCCCUUAUACUGUGGCCCCAGGCCGCCCCUUGACUGCUUCCAGUGAACAAACCUGCUGUUCCUCCUCAUCCAGCUGCCCUGCCCACUUUGAAGGAACAAAUGUGGAAGGUGUUUCCUCCCACCAGAGUGCCCCCCCUCAUCAGGAGGGUGAGCCCGGGGCAGGGGUGACCCCUGCCUCCACACCCCCCUCCUGCCGCUAUCGCCGUUUAACUGGCGACUCCGGUAUUGAGCUCUGCCCUUGUCCUGCCUCCGGUGAGGGUGAGCCAGUCAAGGAGGUGAGGGUUAGUGCCACCCUGCCAGAUCUGGAGGACUACUCCCCGUGUGCACUACCCCCAGAGUCUGUACCGCAGAUCUUUCCCAUGGGGCUGUCUUCCAGUGAAGGGGACAUCCCAUAAGUAGUUUUGAGAGGGUGGAUGGGUUACUUGCCCACCAGAAACAGCCCUAGUCCCAACUCCUUGCGUUCCUUUGGCCCCUCCCUGCCUACCUAGAAUCUGCCUGAAAGGGCUGGAGAGGGGCAGUAUUGGGGGACUGUGCUAGCUUUACCCCCGCAGGACAUACACAGGAGCCUUUGAUCUCAUUAAAGAGAUGUGAACCAGCUACUUGUG